AUUGAACGCUGGCGGCAGGCCUAACACAUGCAAGUCGAACGAGUGGCGGACGGGUGAGUAAUGUCUGGGAAACUGCCUGAUGGAGGCGGUUAACUACUGGAAACGGUAGCUAAUACCGCAUACCAUCGGUUGGGCCCAGUGGGGAUUAGCUAGUAGGUGGGGUAACGGUUCACGUAGGCGACGAUCCCUAGCUGGUCUGAGAGUAUGAUCAGCCACACUGGAACGGAGACACGGUCCAGACUCCUACGGGAGGCAGCAGUGGGGAAUAUUGCACAAUGGGCGCAAGCCUGAUGCAGCCAUGCCGCGUGUGUGAAGAAGGCCUUCGGGUUGUAAAGUACUUUCAGAGAGGAGGCGUUACUCGCAGAAGAAGCACCGGCUAACUCCGUGCCAGCAGCCGCGGUAAUUC
rnacentral:rRNA from 1 species